rnacentral:rRNA from 1 species
GGGCCCGCACAAGCGGUGGAGCAUGUGGCUUAAUUCGAGGCAACGCGAAGAACCUUACCUGGUCUUGACAUGCCCGUCAUAGUUUUCCGAAAGGAAUACAUCAGUUCGGCUGGACGGUGCACAGGUGCUGCAUGGCUGUCGUCAGCUCGUGUCGUGAGAUGUUCGGUUAAGUCCGGCAACGAGCGCAACCCUCGUUCCUAGUUGCCAGCGGGUAAUGCCGGGGACUCUAGGAAGACAAACCUCGUGUAGAGGUGGGAAGGUGGGGACGACGUCAAGUCAGUAUGGCCCUUACGACCAGGGCUGCACACGUGCUACAAUGCCUGGUACAAUGGGAUGCAAUACCGCGAGGUUGAGCCAAUCCAUAAACCAGGCCCAGUUCGGAUUGGAGUCUGCAACUCGACUCCAUGAAGUUGGAAUCGCUAGUAAUGGCGUAU